CGUCCGUAGCCGGUUUAAUAAGUCUCGUGGUGAAAGUCCUGUAGCGUUAACUGUGGGAAUUGCUGGAGAUACUAUUAGACUUGGAGACCGGGAGAGGUUAGAGGUACUCCCAGGGUAGAGGUGAAAUUCUGUAAUCCUGGGAGGACCGCCUGUUGCGAAGGCGUCUAACUGGAACGGUUCUGACGGUGAGGGACGAAAGUUAGGGGCGCGAAUCGGAUUAGAUACCCGGGUAGUCCUAACCGUAAACGAUGCGGACUUGGUGUUGGGGUGGCUUUGAGCUGCUCCAGUGCCGAAGGGAAGCUGUUAAGUCCGCCGCCUGGGAAGUACGGUCGCAAGACUGAAACUUAAGGAAUUGGCGGGGGAGCACCACAACGCGUGGAGCCUGCGGUUUUUAAAUUGGAUUCAACGCCGGACAUCUCACCAGAGGCGACAGCUGUAUGAUAGCCAGGCUGAUGACUUUGCUUGACUAGCUGAGUGGAGGUGCAUGG
rnacentral:rRNA from 1 species